rnacentral:lncRNA from 1 species
CGACGUUCAUAAAUUCAUUUAUAGAAUCAAUCUACAGACAAGUUUUUCUUUUAUCACCAUGUCUCUAAGUGCAAAAAGGUCGGAUCACCAACAAAAAAGACAUGUGUGCGAUCUCCUCCGCGCUUGUGCUAGUGCUCAGACCUCAAGCAUCUCCAUUCGGACUUCCUAAAAUCUCAAGAAGUCCAUUACAGCUCCAUACAUCCUAGAAAACCCCAAACUUCGGCAGCAACAAUAAUGCUGACUCCUGGACCCCCUCUACGGGGCCCUCCUCCAGCUCUUCAUCCUGAACUUUGUAGUUUUGGGUAUCGUGGAGAAGAAUGUCUGCUGCACCUCUUAUCUGAACUGUGAUUCGCUCCGAGAUGCCAUCAUGACAGUAUGGUACGCCAUAGACGCAGCCUUGAGCGUCAAGGACUGCCAAUCUGUUCCCCGGCAUGUUGAGGAGGUUAUUAGUUGAGAAGGAAAACAUAUAAAAUAAAAUUUUAUUUAAAUUUA